AUGCUUCUACAACUUUAAAAACUUGAAAUUUUCGUUUAGAAAUAUUAACCGUUCCGCCAAGCUUGGCGACAGCCUAGCACGUUUGUCAGUGAUCGUGUUCCCAGCAGUUGAGUUGACUCUUUCAGAAGGAACGGAUGAUGCAGGGACAAUCAAAUAUCUCAAGACAAUGUCACGCAAAGGAUCGCAAGCUUUAUAAUUUGUCCAAUACGCAAGAACGUCAUCUUGUUCUCCCAGUAAGGGUUCUUUCAUAUAGUUAUUUAGGUGCACAAUUGCCUGGGCAGUGGUGUGUAUAGUGGAAUCGGUAUAUGUUCGGGUUCUCACCUCAUCUAAAAAUGUAUAUUCGCCUAUAAAUGAAAAAAAAAAAACAAUUAGAAAUUGAAAACUACCAGCACGUGAGCUUUACAAUUUUACCUUUCUUAGUGGGGCGAGAUAUUGAAAUAUCAGAUCGCUCUGCACGCAUUCGAGUAUUAGCCGCAACAAUUUCUGCUUUUAGCUCUUCUUUUAAUCGUUCUGCCAUUGUCCUAUAGUUCCCCUCUGAAACGAACGCAUGUUUCUUAAACCUUGGGUCUAGUAUCGUGCUGAUUCUGAAACAAAAGAGAAAAUAUCAGGUGGUUUCUAAAUAAUGAUUGUCUAUUGGUGAAAACUUACUAACAGAAGCCAAACAGAAGCAAACAACUACUAGCUAGUCAGAGUUUCUUAAUAAUGUGUAAGGAGGAUGGCUUCGAUAGCUGCGCGAUGUGUGGCAUGAGGUGUUCAAUAAGUUCUAUAAACAGCGGAUGUGCAGACGUAGGUUUGAAGUGACUGUACUGAAGUCGUACCAUCGAACACUUUAUGCUGAUGCUGCCGGUCAUCGCUAAGCGCAUAGCUUAAGUUGAAAGGGAAAAUAAACUAAAUUUCGUCUAGAACCAACAGCA